rnacentral:tRNA from 1 species
GGUUGUAGCUCAGUGGCAGAGCGCUUGCCUAGCAUGCGUGAGGCACUGGGUUCAAUCCUCAGCACCA